rnacentral:rRNA from 1 species
ACCAGACUCCUACGGGAGGCAGCAGUGGGGGAUAUUGCACAAUGGGGGGAACCCUGAUGCAGCGACGCCGCGUGGGUGAAGAAGCGCCUCGGCGCGUAAAGCCCUGUCAGCAGGGAAGAAAAUGACGGUACCUGAAGAAGAAGCCCCGGCUAACUACGUGCCAGCAGCCGCGGUAAUACGUAGGGGGCAAGCGUUAUCCGGAUUUACUGGGUGUAAAGGGGGCGCAGACGGCGAUGCAAGCCAGGAGUGUAAGCCCGGGGCCCAACCCCGGGACUGCUCUUGGAACUGCGUGGCUGGAGUGCAGGAGGGGCAGGCGGAAUUCCUGGUGUAGCGGUGAAAUGCGUAGAUAUCAGGAGGAACACCGGUGGCGAAGGCGGCCUGCUGGACUGCAACUGACGUUGAGGCCCGAAAGCGUGGGGAGCAAACAGGAUUAGAUACCCGGGUAAC